GCCUGGCUGGCUUAGUUGGUAGAGCACACGACUCUUAAUCUCAGGGUCGUGAGUUCAAGCCCCACGUUGGGUG
rnacentral:tRNA from 1 species